rnacentral:rRNA from 2 species
GUAGCUUAUAGCAGCAUUCCUGGACGCUAGCGAUCAGUAGAAGCACAGUCUACUGCGUGCAGCAGCGGCAGUAUACGAGGGUGCUAGCAUUAAUCGAAUGCUGGCGUAUAGCGCAUGCAGCUGGUUUGUUAAGUCAGAUGUGAAAGCCCGGCGCUCAACCUCGGAAUUGCAUUUGAAACUGGCAGACUAGAGUACCGUAGAGGGGGGUAGAAUCUCAGGUGUAGCGGUGAAAUGCGUAGAGAUCUGAAGGAAUACCGGUGGCGAAGGCGGCCCCCUGGACAGAUAUUGACACUCAGAUGCGAAAGCGUGGGGAGCAAACAGGAUUAGAUACUCUGGUAGUACACGCCGUAAACGAUGUCUACUUGGAGGUUGUGGCCUUGAGCCGUGGCUUUCGGAGCUAACGCGUUAAGUAGACCGCCUGGGGAGUACGCUCGCAAGAUUAAAACUCAAAUGAAUUGACGGGGGCCCGCACAAGCGGUGGAGCAUGUGGUUUAAUUCGAUGCAACGCGAAGAACCUUACCUACUCUUGACAUCCAGAGAACUUUCCAGAGAUGGAUUGGUGCCUUCGGGAACUCUGAGACAGGUGCUGCAUGGCUGUCGUCAGCUCGUAUUGUGAAAUGUUGGGUUAAGUCCCGCAACGAGCGCAACCCUUAUCCUUGUUUGCCAGCGAGUAAUGUCGGGAACUCCAGGGAGACUGCCGGUGAUAAACCGGAGGAAGGUGGGGACGACGUCAAGUCAUCAUGGCCCUUACGAGUAGGGCUACACACGUGCUACAAUGGCGCAUACAGAGGGCAGCCAACUUGCGAGAGUGAGCGAAUCCCAAAAAGUGCGUCGUAGUCCGGAUUGGAGUCUGCAACUCGACUCCAUGAAGUCGGAAUCGCUAGUAAUCGUGGAUCAGAAUGCCAUGGUGAAUACGUUCCCGGGCCUUGUACACACCGCCCGUCACACCAUGGGAGUGGGCUGCAAAAGAAGUAUAUAGUUAACCUUCGGGGAGACGCUU